rnacentral:rRNA from 1 species
UACGAAGGGGCGAGCGUUGUUCGGAUUUACUGGGCGUAAAGGGCGCGCAGGCGGCUAUCCAAGUCAGGCGUGAAAGCCCCGGGCUUAACCUGGGAGGUGCGUCUGGGACUGGGUGGCUAGAGUCCGAAAGAGGAGAGUGGAAUUCCUGGUGUAGCGGUGAAAUGCGCAGAUAUCAGGAAGAACACCCGUGGCUAAGGCGGCUCUCUAGUACGGUACUGACGCUGAGACGCGAAAGCGUGGGGAGCGAACAGG